ensembl:lncRNA
AAAAAAGUUGUCAGGUUGCAAAGAAGAAUGGGCAAGGAUUUCAGUCUCUAGAUUUGCAAAGCUGGUAGAGACAUACCCUAAAAGACUGGCAGCUGGAAUUGCAGCAAAAGGUGGUUCUACAAAGUAUUGACUCAGGGGGCUGAAUAAUUACGCACACCCCACUUUUCAGUUAUUUAUUUGUAAAAAAUGUUUGGAAUCAUGUAUGAUUUUUGUUCCACUUCUCACAUGUACACCACUUUGUAUUGGUCUUUGACAGGGGAUUUCUUUAAAUCACCCUGCCGUUCUUCAGUUGAGACGUCUGAGUUCAGAAAACACACAAACACUGCAGAAGUUUUUCCUCGCGAGGGGCAGUCAUGUACACAGGAUCUGCGCCCCACGACUGUCCCCGUCCUUUAUUUAUACUUUUCUGUGUGAGUGUGUGUGUGUGUGUGUGUGUAUGUGUGUGUACAAAGGUAACAACGUCAUUUGGAGCCGCGGGUUUUUUCCCUUCACUACAUUUGCAUGUUCUUCUAAUAGAGCUGAGUCUUCACUUCUCUGUUCUCUGAAGACAGGAAGCGGUUAGUAGCUGCACACAAGUUACUGGGUGAAAAGUCACCCAGACAUGUCCCCAACAGUAAGAUAAAAAGAUACAUUUCAUAUAGCUGAUCAUAUUAUACAAUAUUCUCUUCUGACAUUCCCUCCUGUUGAUCACGAAGUGAAAUGUACAAUUCAUCAGUGAGUAACUACUUGUCUUUCACAUUCUCAGUUACUACAUCAUUAGUUACACUUCAUCUUCAUCUGAAAAAUAGGAAAAGAAGUCUUCAUCGGUUUUGGUACAUCUGCGUAUGCUGUGAAUGACAAACUAAUCAUCUGUGAAAUUACAGCUUUAAACAAAGAAUAUCAUAAGUAAAGAAAGGCAAAAUAAAAUCAAGAAAAAUUCAAUGACGAUCAACAGUCUCUUUAAACUUGUUAAAGUUCAGGGCUUCUUCCUGGAUCAGGAUGUUGAUGAUGUUGUGCACCUUACAAAAGUCAUUAGAUCAGAUUUGGUGCACUUGUUCCAGGGUGUUUCUCAUACAUGGCUGUGUUAAUAUGCUCGGCAUGUGCGAGCAAACAUAACAGUCUUUCUCUGUAGUUUUGUUAAACACUUAUUUGUAUCAGUCACUUUCCAUCCAAGGAUGGAUGUGAUCUUGUGUCAUGUCCAUUAGGUGUAAGUUGUCGUACGUCCAUCUUCUCUGUCUGCCUUGUGGCUCGGCUACUGUUGGCAUCAGCUGGGAUCCUGUAAGGGUGAGCUUUGUAGUCAAGGUAACCAGGAGGCUUCCCCUUCACAUUGUUGCACAUAGGUCCAUCACACCUGCACCUGGCUGCCCUAAAGUUGAUCGGAUAGAGGGUGGAGUGCAGGCUUACCCAACGGGGGCCCAAUCGCACUACCCCCCCUCACCCCCGAAGCAACCAAACGUAGGUGAGGCCUUCCUAAUGUGCUUCCUCCUUAGUGAUGGGGCUUCCCGGGACCUCAACCUUUUUGCAAUGGCUCUGAUGUAUCCAAGAUGGUCUCUCUGCAAUUUUACAGGCUGUGGGUGUUGUCAAUAACACUUGGUUUCAACCUGCAAGAGACUGGAGAGCCUUACGGCAGUUUAUUGUUCAAAACAACCUGUUCUAAUUCAAAGGUUGUGGGUUCACACGAUUUCCUGUUUUUGCAUUAGUUAGUUUUUGGAGACUAAUCGAACUCUCUUCCUAACUUUCCAUAUAGCAACAAUAAGUGUCCAGCAUUUGAGAGUUGUCUCACAUGUGUGAGAUAAGACAAAGUUGCUUAUUAUUUUUUUUUUAUUUUUUUUUUUUUAAAUUGAAGUCACUGCGUGAGGUACUUAGAUGAUCAGAGUGUGCCCUAAAACAACGUCAGCUGACUUUUUUACUGCCUCUGCUGCAGCUGCACAGGCCUACAAACAACAGAGUCUAAUUUACAGGAAGGAAUGCAAGUUACUGAAUGCUUCUUCUGAUUUCUUUUCUAUGUAGGUGCAAGACUUCAUUUUGACUUAAGGCAUUUAGGUCAUUCCUUUUUUUUUUUUUUUUUUUUUUAAAAGAACUCACACAUCUUACAUAUUUCAAACUUUUAAGUUAAGGAAAAAACUUUGCAUUGCUUACAGCUCAUAACUCACAGCUCUAAAACUCGUCAUUGUUAAAUCAUGUGCCUAAUCAUUAUAUGUCACUGUGAUCCACAAGUAUGAUCACAAAUUUGUUUUCCAAACUUACAAAACAAACAAACAAAAACAAAAACAAAUUGCCUAUGGCACCAAGGCUUUGUGUUCAUAUUAAUUGAGUGUAAGCUGCUUUCUUCAUUGCAAGUAUUUGUUUCAAUAAGGUUUAAUUCUGUCUCACUUCUAAUUCAUUUCAAUAAUAAUCUCACAUGUAACAAUUUGUGUAUGUGUGUUCUCAUUUUGUGUUUACCUCUUUGUCGUGAUGUGGUGGACAUCCCUAAACAAUCAGUAAUUUUCCUAAAUCUUGAUUUAAAAACAAUACACCCUCAUUUCACUCACACACAUUUAAACCGAGCUCUUUCACACAUCCAAACAAUUAACCAAGGGUAUAUGCUUAUGUGUUUUUGAACUGAGAGAAAAGAAACUCAACCUCUCAUACCAUCACUCAUGCAUUUCUUGAAUUAAAAGCACUUUCAAACUUUAGAACAUCCUACUUUUCAUCACAAAAGAAAUAUAUUUCACACUCCUUUAUUUCAUACACACUUUUAAAUGUUCUAACCUCUUUCAGACGCCAUAAAUCGUCUC